rnacentral:sRNA from 1 species
UCGGAAUAGCUGACCCUCUUAUCUGUCUCCUGGGAGCCACCGGUCCCUGCAGCCUGGUGUUAUCUGCUGGGGGAGGGCUGCAGGUUUGAGGAUUUAGAAGUUCUAUGCAGGACGUCUCGGAGAUGGUGGGGAACAGGCCCCUGUUGGUGCCUCAUUUCUGAAGCUGAACCCCGACAGUGGACAUGUCUGCAAGAAACAUGGCGGUGGAGUAGUAUGCUUGUCCUCUCUGUCCAGAAAGCAUUCCAUUUCCUGAAUGCUUUGGCCAACCCUGGUAUUGGGGUGAGGACGGGAUGUGGGGUGUGGAGAUCGGCUUCAGUGCUGGGCUCGCGCUGCACUUCCAACGUCUUUGUGGGGGUGACAAUUUAGUGUCAACGCACCGAUGGAGUUUCCAAGACCCAGACUUGAGAACGCCUCAGGCCUGGGCUUCAGAGAGCUCUGAGGCCUACAGUGGCAGCCUCUGGCAUGAGAGUUGUUAAUCCACCAGAGGACGAGUUUAAAACAAACUACUCAGGAAUGAGGGCUAAUAAAGUCGAAGGAAGGAGCUGGCAUUUGCAAGAACAUUGCAGGAAGAGUGAGAUCAAGGAGACAGGAGGGAACUGCCCAAGGCCUGAGGUGGACAGAGGUGGCCCCUCAGCAAACUGGGCCUUGGACUUCCUAUUACUGGAGUUGUUGGAGCAGAAUUCCCAAGGCUCCCCAGACCAGCUGAAUUUGAAUCUUCCCAGAAGUACAUUUCUUAUGUUCUUUGAGCUACUGCUGUGUGCUGAUUAGUCUCCCCUCCCCUCUCUGCAAACUAGACACAAGCUGUAAUUAUUUGGGAAGAUGAAACCUUUAUUGAGAUAAUGCUUAAGGUUGGCCUAUAGGCAAAUCUGUGUGGGAGGAGUUUUCUUGAUUAAGGAUUAGUGUGAGAAGGCCCAGCCUCAGGCUGCUGUUGAAGGUGACAGUCCUGGGCUGAGAGCCCUGGGUUCUAUAAGAAAGCAGGCUGGGAAAGCUAUGGAGAACAAGGAGCAUACCUCUGUGAUCUAGGCCCCAGAUUCUGUCUUUAGGUUCUUGUCUUGAAUUUUUGCCCUGAUUUCCCUCAGUGAUGGACUACAAUCUUUAAGCUAAAUAAAUUCUCUCCUCACCAAAUAGCUUUUGGUCAUGUUGUUUAUUACAACAGUAUAAAGAAAACUAAAACAGGGCAUGACCAGGAGAGGUGGACCUUGGAUCAAGUAGCUAGAAGCUUCCUGAAUUGCCUUUUCAUAGGAAAAAUGGCCUGAUGCUUCCCAUGAAGGUUGAGGUCCUAGAUUAUGCUCCACAGGGACACGUGUACAAUUGGUGCCACUUGGAGAGAACUCUAGCUCAGCAGGGCAGUGUCUGUCCUGGAGGGACCUGGACAUAGAGCUACAGACUCGUUGGUUAUGACUGAGCCCAUGAUGCACCUUGGGAACGCCCUUCAGCAGGUUGCGAGUUUGAAGAAACCCGUAGAUAAAGAAUGGAUUGAAAUGGCACCUCAGUUCUUCCUUCUGAAUGUCUGCCUUGUGUGUCUCUGUGUGUCUUGUGUGAACGCUGUUGUUCUUGAGGUCCCAGAGCAUCUUUUGCACCAGAUCAUCUGAUUCUUGGAGGACUUCUAAUAAUCCCCCAAGACCCUAUUCCAAUAUGCCCAUGCGGAGACCUGUUCUUGAGCUCCUGCUAGCCCUGGUCCCAUCCUACCUUCUCAUCCCAACUCUAAACAAUCCAUUCUGGCCCCAUCUAGGUAGCCAUUUGGGGAUGCUGUCCAAUUAGGGGCCUCUGGUAAACUGCACUCAGGGUUUCCUGAUACCACCGAAGGUCUUUUCUUCGUCUAUAAUAGUCUCACCCCUUCCUCCUCUGAAUGAGUCCAGUAAAGGGGAGAAGCCACAGACAUGGCUAGAAGAUAGACCAUUCUAACUGAAACAAGAGGAAAAAGAACGAGAGAGAGAGAGAGAGAGAGAGAGAGAGAGACUUGAUGCUUUUUCAAACCUAAAAAAAGCCUCCCCAAUUCACAUACCAUAAGGUUUACCCAUCCAAAGUGUACAGUCAUUAUCUGUACUCACAAAUGUCACCACUCUAAUUACAGAACACUCUCACUACCUAACAAAGAAACCCCUUAGGAGUUACUUCUCACCCUUCCUCAGCCCGGUUACCUUCUAAUUAUAGCAUUACGAGACAUCGAGGCAGCGUGCUUUGGCAGAAGACAGUGUGCAAUUUAAAACACAUUUUACUUCUUGGAGACUUUGAGUUACAUAAAUCAGCCCAAUGUCACAGACUUCUCUAGCAUAGCUGGGCUCCUGUAUACAAUAGUGUCUCGUGCAAACAGGACCCUGAAGUGAGCAUCUAUUCUACAGGCUGGCUUUCAGAGCACUGCUAUAAACACGAGUUCAGGGGUAGCGUUGUUGCGAGGGGCAGAAUUUGGGGAGUGAGGACAGACUCUCAGGUUCCAAGUUUUGUCCAGAAGUCUCCAGUGGAAAAUCCCUUCGGUUUUGUGGAGGCCAAGUCCCAGAUUUAAAACACAAGGGCGUCCCUGAGAAGGACAUCUCCUUAUUAAGACUGGAACAUAUUCCAGAGAGAAUCUGUGGAUAAUAACCAACCCUGGAAAACGUCCUCCAAUGCGAAGGGGAAUCCUCAGUGCUGGGCUGUAGUCAUUUGGAAGUGGACUUUCCCCCUUUGUUUCUAACUCGAGUUUCACGGUGCAUUCCAUUACUAACCAGACCAGCAUCAACAACAUUCAAGAAGGGCUCUGAUCUGCUGCGUUGUCCUGUGAUGGUGAAGCUGUCCUUCCAUUCUCUACAGAGUGUAAGCCUGUAAACCUCCUGUAAGGGUACAGGGAACACUUGAAAGCACAAGCCUGGCUUUGGAAUCCACAGUUUGGUGAUGAGGCUGACUUAUUUUGUAGGAAGAGCUCCCCCUGAGAACACUGCACGAAGGGGCUUGUCUGCAGGUGUGGUUGGACCCAUCAGGGUGGGUGGAGGCUAGGAGGAAGGAGCCAUGCAGCUUCCGGUGCAGGGUGGUUGGCUGGAGGGCGAGCACGGAGAACCGCAGCCUGCAGUUAGGUAGUGGGACUCAUCAGGUAGAACAGCUAGUGGCAGUUGGGCAGAAAUGAGCAGCAUAUCUGCAACAGCUCACAUCCGGAAACAGGUUAGAUUUUGCAAUUUUCAAGUGUUCCCUGUAAGCCCCACACAGCUCCCACGUUGUUGAAAACCUGGUAUCCUGCAGAGCAGAGACAACCUCACAGUCACAGGAGUGAUUCUUCUCGAGAGGCUGAAAGCAGCCCUCCCCUGGGCCAUGUGAGUGGCUCCACUUAUGGCCCUGUGGCAGGAUGGGGUUGGCGGUGAGCUCCAGCUGCAGAUGUGGGGAUUGGUAUUCUGUCUAAGCUCCACCCCCCAGGUAUCUGGCAACAGCCAGGUAUGCUCCGUCCCAAAGGCACGUGGGGAUUUAAACUUGCAGGGUGCUAUGAGUCUGAUGUGUCCCAGAAGCUGUUCUCUCUGUGUGUUCCCAAGAUGUCUUCACGUACAACAGCCAGGACUGGAGGUGUUCGUCAGAGGUGGACACCUGACUCCGGCAGCCAGCCAUUCAGCAUUGAGCUUCAGAAUGAGAUCGAAAUGGAUUUGCUGCCCAAACUUCCCGCCACGGCAGUGGCCAUGGCUUUCUACUGGAGUUCUUCGAGCAGAGGCUGAGGAUGGUUGUUAGAUCGAUGGUCCAGCAGUGUGCAUUAGACGCACAGAGCACACGGGAAUGGCUGGAAUGUAUCCUGAGGGCGGGGCAAGCUGCUGCUCUCAGAGAAUAACACUGAACCUUACAGGGUGUCUCCCCCAAAAUACGACUAGAGAGGAAGCAGCUUGGCCCAUCCGGAAUGUUGACCUUCAACAAGACAACAUAUCUGGACUCUGUUCAUUGUCAUGCUGGCCCAAAACAAAUGGAGGAAUGGGCUCUGUUCUUCAAUACACGGAACAACAAAAAAAUUAGAUUCAUGUAGGGACAAAAGCCUAGAAAAGUAUCUGACCUCCCAGGGCCUCGCUGUGUUCUUGUUGGUUACUCUCAACUUCAAUGUAGUCAAGGACUCUCAGUAAAAGUGAGUCACCCUCUCACAUGGAAACAGAGAAACAAACUCAAGUUCACGUGGCAGCUCUGGCUUAAUAGGUUGGGGAGAGCCUGGAUGCAGUAGCUUUUAUAAGUCCACAGAUGAUGCUGGUGUACACAUCUGUUGGAAAAUCAUGUCCCUGGUGAUGUCACACAGGCUUCUUUCAAAAGACAGGCCCUUCAGAUAGCUUCCAGAUCACCCCAGAGGUUCAGGAAAACAGCCAUGAAGUGGUUGAUUCGGCACUGUGGUCAUGCAUUUUCCUCUCUGAGUCACCGUAGUGUCCUGUACACCAUUAGGGGCACAACCCAGAUUCGAGGCUUCCAACUUCAUCCCCUGGAGGGCAGUUUGACUGAAGUGGUUACAGAGAAGUGGAAAAUAGCCAGAGGUAGGGAAGGGUUGUGACAAGUGGGAUGGAUUUCAAAGAAGUCUGUCUGAAGGGGCAGAACGGCCGCUGGUUGCUCUGGUCUCCGAGUGCCGAUUCAGGAGCCUCCAUAGAUCUCAUAACCUGAACCUGGGUUUGUUUAAGUCAAACCAUUUCCAGGAAGCCUCAGCUUGAUCCAGGGAUGUGCUCUCGUCUGUUAAACAGACAAGACUCAACUUGUUCAAAAACAGUGAGUUAAAGUCCGGCGCAUUUUGAGGCUUUUUUUCCUAAUAUUUUCCUGAGCUGUUAAUACCUUGUUUCUUCUGGGGUUUUAUUGCAUUCUUUGAAUGAAGGGUCUUUGCAGGGACAAGCAAGUUAAGGAUCUCCAAUGCCUGGUGACCUUACAAGAGAAACGGGAGACAGAAAUGGCGUGUGAUCUUGAAGGGUAGAGGUCUGGACCGCACGCCUCCAUAUGGCCUACACCAAGACUUCCUACUUCCCUCCUGAAAUCCCUUCUGUGAAGAGAGAUUUAUCAAGACGAUGUGAGGCACCUGUGAGUUCUGGCAGCGCAUCCCUGUGGCUUUCCCAUGCUCCUGCCUCAUGCGUACUGAAGUAAACUCUGAGACGUGAUUGAUGCCAGUGACCCCUUCCCCACAGGAUGGACUUCAGCACUCCAAUACCGCUAACAACAUAUCAUUAGCAUUCCUGAGAGUGAUAAUUCUAGCUGUAUCCUGAGUGAAUUCUCACGGUGACUGCGACUGUGUCUACAGCAGAAUCCUCAUUUCCAGAGAUGUUUGGGUUAUGCGUCUGUCAGGGUUUAUUUCCUAACCUACAAAGCCGACACUCCCGGGGAAGGUAUCUUCUUUUGAUAUUGCUUUUGAUAGAAAGUCGGACUUAUACUAUUUCCAAAGAAAUAUAAAAAGGCAGGCAAUUCAUGAUUUCAAGGAUAGCAGAUCCGUGGCUACCUUGUUUUUAAAAUCCCUUGAUCAGUUUCAUGAUGACCUUUUGUGGAUGGGAUCCUGGAGAAUUCUCUGCCUUUUUGGUGGUAUUCAGGGAGUGUUGGUUCCAACAAGAUGAAUCAACAUUGGCCUCCUUGUGUCCUGCCCUAUCCCCCUCCCUCCCUCCCAUGCAGCAAUGGCACUCCAAAUUUUAUUUUUUUUAUGCUGGUUAGACACAUUCCCUUCACCUCCCUUCCCAUCCACCAUAAUAGAAUGCUCUAGCCAUGUGCCUUGAUGUCGAAGGUCAGACGGGACACACCUGUUGGACACAUCAGUCUUGCCAAAUACGAACCACAGAGGAAAACGAAGAAGACAGAUAGCAAACUGUUCCCUGGUAUAAGGAAGGGCUGUCUUAGCUUCAGACUGAGAGGUCAAGGAACUCGUCAUUGGAAGCUAAGCAGUCCUUCACAAGAAUGUGUGCUUGAGUGUCAGAUAUGGUACAUCCAUUCGGAGGCGACACAGCUAUGAGCCAUGGGGGCGGGGGGACACCGCAAGACCCAAAAUAAUAAUUUCACUGUGAAUCACGGGAAGCUUCGCUCUCGAAAUAAAAUCUUCCCAGCCGUGAUGUCAUAUAAUUACUAAUUAAAGCAAUUAUGUCCUCA